UACAUGGGGUGCAAACGUUGCUCGGAAUUAUUGGGCGUAAAGCGCACGUAGGCGGUUUGUUAAGUCGGAUGUGAAAUCCCUCGGCUCAACUGAGGAAGUGCAUCCGAAACUGGCAAGCUUGAGUACGAAAGAGGAUCGCGGAAUUCCCGGUGUAGAGGUGAAAUUCGUAGAUAUCGGGAGGAACACCAGUGGCGAAGGCGACUUCCUGGCCUGUUCUUGACGCUGAGGCGCGAAAGCUAGGGGAGCAAACGGG
rnacentral:rRNA from 1 species